rnacentral:rRNA from 1 species
UACGAAGGGGGCUAGCGUUGCUCGGAAUCACUGGGCGUAAAGCGCACGUAGGCGGCUUGUUAAGUCAGGGGUGAAAUCCUGGAGCUCAACUCCAGAACUGCCUUUGAUACUGGCGAGCUUGAGUCCGGAAGAGGAGAGUGGAAUUCCUGGUGUAGCGGUGAAAUGCGCAGAUAUCAGGAAGAACACCUAUGGCGAAGGCAGCUCUCUGGGACGGUACUGACGCUGAGGCGCGAAAGCGUGGGGAGCAAACAGG